rnacentral:rRNA from 1 species
UACGUAGGGGGCAAGCGUUAUCCGGAUUUACUGGGCGUAAAGCGCGUUCAGGCGGCCGGCAAAGUUAGAGGUGAAAUCUCACGGCUCAACUGUGAAACUGCCUUUAAUACUUGUCGGCUAGAGUGCGAGAAAGGAAAGUGGAAUUCCCGGUGUAGUAGUGAAAUGCGUAGAUAUCGGGAGGAACACCAGUGGCGAAGGCGGCUUUCUGGCUCGCAACUGACGCUGUAGCGCGAAAGCGUGGGGAGCGAACGGG